rnacentral:rRNA from 1 species
GGCGAUCAGAUACCGCCCUAGUUCUGACCGUAAACGAUGCCAACUAGCGAUCCGCCAGUCGACUCAUCGCUCUGGUGGGGAGCUUCCCGGAAACGAAAGUCUUCCGGUUCCGGGGGAAGUAUGGUUGCAAAGCUGAAACUUAAAGGAAUUGACGGAAGGGCACCACCAGGAGUGGAGCCUGCGGCUUAAUUUGACUCAACACGGGGAAACUCACCCGGCCCGGACACCGUAAGGAUUGACAGAUUGAUAGCUUUUUCAUGAUUCGGUGGAUGGUGGUGCAUGGCCGUUCUUAGUUCGUGGAGCGAUUUGUCUGGUUUAUUCCGAUAACGAGCGAGACUCUGGCCUACUAAAUAGUUGACGCAUUGCCACUGUGCGCACAACUUCUUAGAGGGAUUUUCGGUGUUUUCAACCGCACGAAAUUGAGCAAUAACAGGUCUGUGAUGCCCUUAGAUGUCCGGGGCUGCACGCGCGCUACACUGGCAAACGCAACGUGCCUGUCCUGCCCCGAAAGGAGCGGGUAAACCCCUGAAAUUUUGCCGUGAUUGGGAUCGGACAUUGCAACUAUUGUCCGUGAACGAGGAAUUCCUUGUAGGGGCGAGUCAUCAACUCGUCCCGAAUACGUCCCUGCCCUUG